AGUGCUAGGAUCUUAACAAGUAUUUCUCUUAAUCAAGAAAACAUUCAUUAAUUCUAUAGCUGAUACUUUAAGAUAAUUAUUUAAUAACAUCUAAAAAUAUUGUAGAAUAUUUAGGGGUUUUUCUUUAAAGCCAAUAUUCAAAAUUUAAACUUAUUUCUGAUAAUUUUUCACUUGGCAUUUCAGAUAGAAUUAGUGUCACUGAGAGGGUUCAGUGAGCUAUGUUAAGUAAUUACUAAUUUUAAAAUUCAGUUUUCACCUUGGGUUAUAGGUUUGGACAAAUGAUUUUGAAAUUUAACCAUUAUACACACACAUAUGCAUAUAUGUAUACACACCAGAUUUUGCCAGUAAAAUGUUUGUGGUAUAUACUCAAUUACAUG
rnacentral:lncRNA from 1 species